UACGGAGGGUGCAAACGUUGCUCGGAAUCAUUGGGCGUAAAGCGCACGUAGGCGGCCCAGCCAGUCGGGUGUGAAAGCCCUCGGCUUAACCGAGGAAGUGCAUUCGAAACUACUGGGCUUGAGUACUGAAGAGGAAGGCGGAAUUCUCGGUGUAGAGGUGAAAUUCGUAGAUAUCGAGAGGAACACCGGUGGCGAAGGCGGCCUUCUGGACAGUGACUGACGCUGAGACGCGAAAGCGUGGGGAGCAAACAGG
rnacentral:rRNA from 1 species